rnacentral:rRNA from 1 species
ACUCAAAUGAAUUGACGGGGGCCCGCACAAGCGGCGGAGCAUGUGGCUUAAUUCGAAGCAACGCGAAGAACCUUACCAAGGCUUGAAAUGUACGGAAAAGCCAUAGAGAUAUGGUGUCCUUCGGGGCCGUACACAGGUGGUGCAUGGUUGUCGUCAGCUCGUGCCGUGAGGUGUUGGGUUAAGUCCCGCAACGAGCGCAACCCCUAUCUUAUGUUGCCAGCGAGUAAUGUCGGGGACUCAUGAGAGACUGCCGGUGUCAAACCGGAGGAAGGUGGGGAUGACGUCAAAUCAUCAUGCCCCUUACGUCUUGGGCUGCACACAUGCUACAAUGGCCGGUACAGAGGGCUGCGACCCCGUGAGGGUGAGCGAAUCUCAUAAAGCCGGUCUCAGUUCGGAUUGGAGUCUGCAACUCGACUCCAUGAAGGCGGAGUCGCUAGUAAUCGCGGAUCAGCAACGCCGCGGUGAAUACGUUCCCGGGCCUUGUACACACCGCCCGU